ACUCCUACGGGAGGCAGCAGUGGGGAAUAUUGCACAAUGGGCGCAAGCCUGAUGCAGCCAUGCCGCGUGUAUGAAGAAGGCCUUCGGGUUGUAAAGUACUUUCAGCGGGGAGGAAGGUGUUGUGG
rnacentral:rRNA from 1 species